rnacentral:lncRNA from 1 species
CUCUACAGCCUAAGCAUUUGAUACAAACUUCACGUUAAUCUCAAUAUAUCAUAAAUUCUUUGUCAGCAACCAAUAACAAAUGAUGAUGUGGUCCAUGAAUGACCCCAUUCGUGUUGUGAGGUUCUUGAUGUAGGUUGCCUCGUAGCUUCUUAUCCCCACCUCGAUGGCCUCGACACUUGACUUGCUCAAUAAAAUUAUUAACAGUAGACGCAAGAGCACUGGACAUGAGAACAAAAUACUUUAUUGAGUGAAAAUAAGAACAUAACUAAAAGCAUAGUCGUAGUCAGCACCUCAAGAGCAACAUAAUUG